rnacentral:tRNA from 1 species
CUCGUCAGGCUCAUAACCUGAAGGUCAGAGGUUCAAAUCCUCUCCCCGCAA